UGCCAGCCGCCGCGGUAAUACGGAGGGUGCGAGCGUUGUCCGGAAUUAUUGGGUUUAAAGGGUGCGUAGGCGGCUUAAUAAGUCAGAGCUGAAAUCCCACCGCUUAACGGUGGAACUGGCUUUGAUACUGUUGAGCUUGAGUACAGAUGAGGUAGGCGGAAUUCAUGAUGUAGCGGUGAAAUGCAUAGAUAUCAUAAAGAACACCGAUUGCGAAGGCAGCUUACUGGGCUGUAACUGACGCUGAGGCACGAAAGCGUGGGUAGCGAACAGGAUUAGAUA
rnacentral:rRNA from 1 species